GAUGAAGAACGCAGCGAAAUGCGAUAAGUAAUGUGAAUUGCAGAAUUCAGUGAAUCAUUGAAUCUUUGAACGCACAUUGCGCCCGCCAGUAUUCUGGCGGGCAUGCCUGUUCGAGCGCCAUUUCAACCAUCAAGCCCCCCGGCUUGUGUUGGGGACCUGCGGCUGCCGCAGGCCCUGAAAAGCAGUGGCGGGCUCGCUGUCACACCGAGCGUAGUAGAUCUCAUCUCGCUCAGGGCGUGCUGCGGGUUCCGGCCGUUAAACCACCUUCAUAACCCAAGGUUGACCUCGGAUCAGGUAGGAAGACCCGCUGAACUUAAGCAUAUCAAUAAGCGGAGGA
rnacentral:misc_RNA from 1 species